AAGGAACUCGGCAAAUUGACCCCGUAACUUCGGGAGAAGGGGUACCUAUGUAAAAGUAGGUCGCAGAGAAAAGGCCCAAGCAACUGUUUAACAAAAACACAGGUUUCUGCUAAAUCGAAAGAUGAAGUAUAGGAGCUGACGCCUGCCCAGUGCUGGAAGGUUAAGGGGAGAGGUUAGAACAAGAUUCGAAGCUUCGAACCAAAGCCCCAGUGAACGGCGGCCGUAACUAUAACGGUCCUAAGGUAGCGAAAUUCCUUGUCAGGUAAGUUCUGACCCGCACGAAAGGCGUAAUGAUUUGGGCACUGUCUCGACAAUGCACCCGGCGAAAUUGUAGUACUAGUGAAGAUGCUAGUUACCUGCGACAAGACAGAAAGACCCCAUGGAGCUUUACUGUAGCUUGAUACUGGGUUUUGGUAAUUUAUGUACAGGAUAGGUGGGAGACUGAGAAGUUUGGGCGUUAGCCUAAAUGGAGUCAACCUUGGGAUACCACCCUUACGAUACUGAAAUUCUAACCUGCGAUCGUUAACCGGUCGGGGGACAAUGUCAGGUGGGCAGUUUGACUGGGGCGGUCGCCUCCUAAAGAGUAACGGAGGCGCCCAAAGGUCACCUCAGCGCGGACAGAAAUCGCGCAAAAGAGUGCAAAGGCAGAAGGUGGCUUGACUGGGAGACUGACAAGUCGAGCAGAUACGAAAGUAGGGCUUAGUGAUCCGGCGGUAGUGAGUGGAAAUGCCGUCGCUCAACGGACAAAAGUUACCCUGGGGAUAACAGGCUUAUCUCCCCCAAGAGUUCACAUCGACGGGGAGGUUUGGCACCUCGAUGUCGGCUCAUCGCAUCCUGGAGCGGAAGUACGUUCCAAGGGUUGGGCUGUUCGCCCAUUAAAGCGGUACGCGAGCUGGGUUCAGAACGUCGUGAGACAGUUCGGUCCUUAUCUGUCGCAGGCGAAGGAAAUUUGAAGGGAGCUGUCCUUAGUACGAGAGGACCAGGAUGGACAUACCGAUGGUGCAUCAGUUGUCACACCAGUGGCACAGCUGAGUAGCUAAGUAUGGAAGGGAUAAACGCUGAAAGCAUCUAAGUGUGAAGCCCACCCUAAGAUAAGAUAUCCCAUACCGAUAAGGUAGUAAGAAUCCACGUAGACUAUGUGG
rnacentral:rRNA from 1 species